CCGACCUGAGAGGGUGAUCGGCCACACUGGAACUGAGACACGGUCCAGAUUCCUACGGGAGGCAGCAGUAGGGAAUCUUCCGCAAUGGGCGAAAGCCUGACGGAGCAACGCCGCGUGAGUGAUGAAGGUCUUCGGAUCGUAAAACUCUGUUAUUAGGGAAGAACAAGUGCGUAGGUAACUAUGCGCACCUUGACGGUACCUAAUCAGAAAGCCACGGCUAACUACGUGCCAGCAGCCGCGGUAAUACGUAGGUGGCAAGCGUUAUCCGGAAUUAUUGGGCGUAAAGCGCGCGUAGGCGGUUUUUUAAGUCUGAUGUGAAAGCCCACGGCUCAACCGUGGAGGGUCAUUGGAAACUGGAAAACUUGAGUGCAGAAGAGGAAAGUGGAAUUCCAUGUGUAGCGGUGAAAUGCGCAGAGAUAUGGAGGAACACCAGUGGCGAAGGCGACUUUCUGGUCUGCAACUGACGCUGAUGUGCGAAAGCGUGGGGAUCAAACAGGAUUAGAUACCCUGGUAGUCCACGCCGUAAACGAUGAGUGCUAAGUGUUAGGGGGUUUCCGCCCCUUAGUGCUGCAGCUAACGCAUUAAGCACUCCGCCUGGGGAGUACGGCCGCAAGGCUGAAACUCAAAGGAAUUGACGGGGACCCGCACAAGCGGUGGAGCAUGUGGUUUAAUUCGAAGCAACGCGAAGAACCUUACCAAAUCUUGACAUCCUUUGACCGCUCUAGAGAUAGAGUCUUCCCCUUCGGGGGACAAAGUGACAGGUGGUGCAUGGUUGUCGUCAGCUCGUGUCGUGAGAUGUUGGGUUAAGUCCCGCAACGAGCGCAACCCUUAAGCUUAGUUGCCAGCAUUAAGUUGGGCACUCUAAGUUGACUGCCGGUGACAAACCGGAGGAAGGUGGGGAUGACGUCAAAUCAUCAUGCCCCUUAUGAUUUGGGCUACACACGUGCUACAAUGGACAGUACAAAGGGCAGCGAAACCGCGAGGUCAAGCAAAUCCCAUAAAGCUGUUCUCAGUUCGGAUUGUAGUCUGCAACUCGACUACAUGAAGCUGGAAUCGCUAGUAAUCGUAGAUCAGCAUGCUACGGUGAAUACGUUCCCGGGUCUUGUACACACCGCCCGUCACACCACGAGAGUUCGUAACACCCGAAGCCGGUGGAGUAACCUUUUAGGAGCUAGCCGUCGAAG
rnacentral:rRNA from 1 species